GAAGGUAUUUAUUAUGAGUGUAUGUAUAAUUUGACACAUGUAUAAUAAGACACCAUAAAUUAGUGUUUCAUCAAAGGAAUGUAUAAUAUAGUUGUUCUGAAAUAUUAUUGUAAAGGUUAUACAUUCUAAUAAAGCUGAUAUUAAUUUUUGAAAUGUAUAAGUUACCCUCAUACAUGUGUAUUUUCUGUUUAUGUUUUGGUUCGUCAUAAAUUGUUAGAUAUAUACAUAACCAUCAUACAUUUGUAUAUGUUGUUUCAUUGGGGUACUCUUUGAAAAUUUUAUAUGUAUAAGUUACCCUCAUACAUGUUUAGAUGUAGUUUCUUUUUUAGUAUAAUAAGAAUUUGUUAGAUAUAAGUAACCAUCAUACAUGUCUAUGUAUAGAAUGGUUAGGAUUGGACUUUAUUACACAUUAAUGUAAGUGAUUUGUUAAUGAUUAAGUAACCAUCUUACAUGUCAACAGAUUAUAUUAAUUUUAGAUGUAUAAGCUAACCUCAUACAUUUGUAACUGUAGUGUAUAUGUUGGACUGAAAUUAUUAUACAUUUAAAUAGUUUAAUUGUCAAAUGUAUUAAUAACCCUCAUACAUGACUAACUGUUGUUUAAUAAGUAACCAUCACACAUAUUUAAUAAAUUAUAUUAAUUUUCAGAUGUAUAAGUUAACCUUAUACAUAUGUUAAUGUAGUGUAUAUAUUAACCUUAUACAGUUAUAAGUUACCCAUCAUACAUGACUAACAAUUGUUUAAUGUUGGUCUGAUUUAUGUCAUGAAAGUAUAAAUGAACAUCAUACAAUCAGUAAGUGUUAGCUAAUUAUGUUAUGUUUUUUUACCAGGGCAUGAAAUACCGAAUUGAUAAAGUCCCACCACACCUGUCACACCCCUUUUUCAACCUGAAAAAGAUUGUAUUUUAAAGUUCGAAAAGGGUUUUUAUUAUCAAAGUGACAAAAAUGAAGAUUUGUUUCGAAAAGGACUUUUUAUAUUCAAAACUUAGAGUCGCCACUUGACAUAAUUCGGUGUGCCAAGUCACCUUUGGAAAUCCUUUUCAAAACGGUUUUGACUUUAAAACUGAUUUGCGAACAGAGAUUCCGAUUAAGGAAUUCUGUUGACCGAGGAGAAGGUGUUAGACACCUCUCGAUCCCGUGGUUCGACCACGGUCGCUUGAUAGAGUGUAUCGGCUAAUGUUGACACUAAGAAUGUAUAAACCAUAUAAACACACAACAACUAAAAAAACACAAAAAACAAAACAAAUCUAAAAAAAAUAAUGUCCAGUCCAAUUAUACAGCCCCAAAAUAGAAAAAUGCGGAAAUAUAAACCUACUUUAUUCUAGGCUAAUUCUAAACUAUCCUCCAUUGCUUUCUCUACCCGAUGUUCCGGGCCUUGAUCGUGUGCCGUCUUCAAGUACAUGAUACUUCAGGGCAUCCCCCGGUGAAUAAAUACAAUUCCUUCGGGGCAUUCCCCAGCAAAUAAAUACAAUGUCAAUCUCAUGCGAUAAACUAGAAAACUUCCAACACGUUCAACAUUCCACGCAUUCAACCAAAACAUCAUUCCUAAGUUUGUCUACCCGAACCUAAACUUUGCCUAUCCCAUUUCAACAUAUCAUAAAUCUAUCACAUUCAUGCUUAUUCCGAACUUAAGCAAAACAACGAUAAACCAACAUUAAUCUAACUUCAACCUUUUUAUCAUUCUCGCAAUUCCACUCCUCCCCACAAAUUUCCUCUCAAUCUAUGGUUAAUUAAUUCUUUGAUUAACAAUUCAUUUUUUCUCUUCAACAUACAAAACCUAUAUCAAUCAAUACACAACAAAGAUACAAACAUACCAAACACACAAAUCAUUCACGAUUACGUAAAAUUAAAGAAAGAGAAGAUAGAAUUGGACCUCAAAAGCUUUCGAUUGACUUAAGAAGAGAAAAUAAGAGCCGUCUUGAAACCUCGAAGAAUACCACUAAUAUCGACUCUCCAAAUCAGUUAUGAACUCAUCACCGCGAUAAACCCAAAAUUUGAUUCAAAGUGAAAUCCAAGAAGAACCAGAGACAAGUACACAGUCAUCCAAAAAAUCAAAACCCGUACACGAAAUCUCACCUAAUUCGACCCAAAUCUCAUCGGAAUCAAACCAAAAGGAUCGAUAUAACACUGAUAUAUCCCCUUUAAAAUGAAUGAGAAUAAUCUUUGGAAUUUUUACCCGUUAAACAGUAUGUUUUGCUGAAACAGAGCAAUAGGCUCCCGGCUCAACCAUUUUUCCGACCAAACUCGUCAGAAAACCGAUUGGCGGACGUGAAUCAACGGUGGAUAUUGGUGGUUUUGGUGGAUUCAGGGUUCAGACACCAACCAAUAGCCCUUUUUCAGUGGUUUCGAAUGGAUUUUGUGAUGUUUUGAUGCGUUUUCGGCGAAGACGUCACCGGAACAGUAACACAAACUUAUUUUUCUCCCUCAACCCCAUCUACCCCUUUUCUCUCUUGGUUACCCACUCUCUCUCUUCGUUAAUCUCUCUUUAUUGCUCCGAAGAAGAAAAGAAAACCCCUCCCUCUUUACUAUGAAGUGUGUGGAGAGUCUCUGUUGUAAUGUGUGAGAGGUCUCAAUUGUGAAUGAUGCUGAUGGGGUCCCUCUUUUAUGUAGAAGACGAUGGUGUAUAAAUAUGCUUUUCCUUUUUUUUGUGGACAAAAAAGUGGGGGGAGGGGUCACGUGGGGUAGGAUAUGGAUGAGGUGUAAAAGUUGGUUAAGAUAAGGAAUAUUAUGGAUUAGGCAUUCAAUUUGUUAGAAUUUGGUUAUUAUUUGUUUCCUUAUGGGGAGAUUAUCAUGCGGGGUAGGAUACAAUGUAAGACGAGGGUAAAAAUGGGUAAAUUAAAUUCGAGAUGGGACAAAAUUACGUGUCUACAUCAUGCCCCCUUUGAAUGUAAACACAAAGUGUUUUCAUACAAAGAAGUAAACAACAAGACAAAAUUUUGUACCGAUUAUUCGAAGGAAGAAAUAGAAGGAGUGAGGACAAUUGAACCUUGACUUAGGACAUCCUAACUACCCAAGUUAUAAGGGAAUCAAGUGACAGGUAUCUCAAAGGAUUGGAAGAGGAUAGACUGUGCCGAGUUGGAGAGUCGAGUGAGGUCCCGUCGAGGUUCUGGUUCGCAGCUCUAUUAUUACAUCAGAAAUGAAAAUUAUGAGUUAAAACAUAAAUGAACUUACAAAAAUCCUAUCUACGCAGCUUCUUUUGGACUCCUGACUUAAACUUCAUCACCCUAUUUUUCAGGCAGGCUCCUGAUUGGCAAUUUCCUUAACUUGUUGUUUGGCUUUCAAUUGUUUCACCUUGUUGCUUGACUUUUAAUUUCUUCACCCUGUUCUUCAGGCGGACUCCUAACUUGCAAUUUUAUCACUCUGUUCCUUGGGUGAGCUCCCGACUUUCAAUUUUAUCGCCCUGUUAUUCAGGCGAGAUCCUGUCUUGCAAUUUCGUCACCCUGUUCUUCAAGCGGGCUCAUGAAACCAAAAUCAAAACUAGAACGAAAAUUAUCCUAAACUAAGAUUAAAAUAAAGAAAGAUUUUAUUUUUCUGAAAGUAAUGUCCUUUUUUCCAGGAGGGUCCUGAACAGAAAGUAAAAUCCCAUUUUCCAGGAGGGUCCUGAACAUAAAGUAAAGUCUUAUUUUUCUGGAGGGUCCUGAACAGAAAGUAAAGUCCCAUUUUUCUGGAGGGCCCUGAACAGAAAGUAAAAUUCCAUUUUCCAGGAGGGUCCUGAACAGAAAGUAAAGUCCCAUUUUCAGGAGGGUCCUGAACAGAAAGUAAAGUCCCAUUUUUUAGGAGGAUCCUGAACAUAAAGUAAAGUCCCAUUUUUCAGGAGGAUCCUGAACAGAAAGUAAAAUCUCAUUUUUCGGGCGGGUCCUGAACAGAAAGUAAAAUCCCAUUUUCCAGGAGGGUCUUGAAUAGAAAGUGAAGUCCGAUUUUUCAGGAGGGUCCUGAACAGAAAGUAAAGUCCCAUUUUUCAGGAGGGUCCUGAACAUAAAGUAAAAUUCCAUUUUUUAGGAGGGUCCUGAAUAGAAAGUAAAAUCUUCAUUUUUCAGGAGGGUCCUGAAUAGUAAGUAAAAUCCCAUUUUCCAGGAGGGUCCUGAACAAAAAGUAAAAUCUCAUAUAUGCCUUCCCAACGGUAGCUGAACUUGCUGAAAAGAAAUUUGCCACUGUUUCAUCAAAGACAAUUUUGUCAGUUAAAAACUUAGUGGUGGUUUGUAGCACUUGGCUUUCUAGACAUCUGCUGCAACACUCGUUCCUUUCAUCUUUGUUUCAGAUUAUUGAAAUUUGCCCCUGUCUUGUCGCGUCAUUGACCCGGAUCCAGAUUGAGUGAAAUAAGUUCUGACUCAAAUAAUGAAUUUCCAUUUUACCAUGCCUCUGAGAUGCACCCUUUUCAAAUUUAAAUACUCCCACGAAUCUGGUAGCCUGUCGGUUGAUAGACUUCCUUUGCUUUGUGUGGAAUUACGAUCAUAUUUCUUUCAUGUGCUGGUCCUUGGCUUUUCCUCAUACAAUUGAAAAGACUGGUAGCGAGUUUUGAAAUUCUUUCCGCUUGUUUUGACACAGACUUGACUUAUAGUGUAAGGAAAUAAUGGCGACUUUUAUUUUGAUACAUGACAUAAAAGAGACAAAAAUAUGAACAUGUAAAUGAAAGAACAGGGCAAUGUCCCUUAUUCAAAAAAAAUAAAACUUAUCUAAAUACAACAACCAACUCCAAUGAUUAUGACAUGCAUUUUGGAUUAAGCUGCACGAUCUUCCUAUCCAAACUUCCCAUUUGUUGUUGAGUUCGUGCCUUUGCCGCUGAGCCGCUUCUUUAAACCCUUUAGACUCAUAUAUCUCAUUCAAUUGACGACAUCUUAAAAGAUUUUCCCCAAUUAAUCUCUUUCCUUUUUACUUUUCUCUCAAACUCGCCAUCGCCUUACUGUGCCCGUAAGGGUUUUCACCAAUAAGACUCUCUCAUUUUUAUUUCUCUCAACUCCCCAUCGCUUUAUGGUGCCUAUGAGGGUUUUCACCAGUAAGACUCUCAUUUUUAUUUUUCUCGACUCACCAUCGCCUUAUGGUGCCCGCGAGGGUUUUCACCAAUAAGAGUCUCUCAUUUUUAUUUCUUUUCUAAUUUCUUAUGAUGAGGAAGACAAGUAGUACCCCACAAUGUAUCAUCAUAUCCAUCACAUGCUUAGCCUUAACAUUAUCAAAGAUUGAUCUGAAGGACUUUCUUUGGUUGUAACUUAGUUUUUGGAUAAGGUUAGAAAAUGAUGGCAAAAGGCUCAAACGACACUUGAAGUGGGGGUGGGACUUACAACUUUUGGAAUCGACUGAAAUAACACAUUAACUCAUGCCCCAGUUUUUGUUGACUGGGUGACUCUAAAAUCUUUAUUUGGUUAGACCGAGCCCUGAAUAGGGCAGCAUACGUAUCUCACUCUCAAGAGAGGAGAAUCAAGUCACACGUAGUUCCAUCAGCUUGUUCUUUUUUUUGAUCUAAUUUUCUCUUCUUUUUUUCUUUUAUUUUUUUGUGCUUUUUCUUUUAUUCUUCUUUUCUUGACAUUUUUUACUCUGUUUUGAUUCCAAAAGAGGGAUAUCAAAGAAAAUAGAACUAAGAUCAAACGGGGUAAACAAAGGAUGAUACAAUGUUUGGAUAGCAGAAUGAAAUUCCUUCAUCAUAUCAAUCUUAAAAAUGCACGUACUAAACAUGCAACAGAACCGAUAAAGGAUAAAAUAUCAUACAUAAUAUCUUUUGACCACAUCAGCAUUGAUAGUCAUUUCUGCCAUUUUACCUUUAAUAUCUCUCAAAUAUAAGGCUCCAUUAGGCAACACUUUCUUCACAAUAAAGGGACCUUGCCAAUUUGGGGAGAACUUGCCUUUAGCUUCAACCUGAUGAGGGAGGAUACGCUUUAAUACCAACUUCAAAAUGCCUAGGGCAUACCUUUUUGUUAUACGCUCGAGUCAUUCUAUUAUGAUACAAUUGGCCAUGGCAUACCAACAUCAGCCUUUUUCUCAUCAAUCAAGCUCAAUUGUUCUAGUCGGGUUUUGACCUACUUAUCAUCAUCAAUCUCUGCUUCCAUAAUAACUCGAAGAGAGGGAGUUUUAACUUCUGAGGGAAUGACUAUUUCUAUCCCGUACACCAAUAAAUAUGGAGUUGCCCCUGUUGAAGUGCGAACAGUAGUACGAUAACCUAGCAAUGCAAAUGGCAACUUCUCAUGCUAUUGUCUAGACCCUUGUACUAUUUUCCACAAUAUCUUCUUGAUAUUCUUAUUGGCGGCUUCCACAGUGCCAUUAGCCUUUGGACGAUAGGGAGUGAAAUUUUGAUGUGCAAUCUUAAACUAUUGACACACUUCUUGCAUUAAAGGACUAUUGAGAUUGAGAGUAUUGCCUGUAAUGAUCAUCUUUGGAAUUUUAAACCUACAAAUGAUGUUGGCAUGAACAAAAUCUACCACCACUUUCUUUGUUACUGACUUAAAAGUUACUACUUCUACCCACUUUGUAAAGUAAUCAAUGGCCAUCAAAAUGAAUCUAUGCCCAUUUGACGCUUUUGGCUCAAUCGGCCCAAUCACGUCCAUCCCUCAAGCUGUAAAAGGCCAUGGAGCAGACACCACGUGCAAUUUAACAGGAGGAUAAUGUAUCAAAUCACCAUGUACCUGACAUUGAUAACAUUUUCGAGCGAAAUAAAUAGAAUCCUUCUCCAUAGUAAGCCACUAAUAACCUGCUCGGAGUAUCUUCUUUGACAAGACAUAACUGUUCAUAUGAGGCCCGCAUACUCCAGAAUGAACUUCAACCAUAAUUGCCGAAGCUUCUUUUGCAUCUACACAUCUCAAAAGUCCAGAUCAGGGUUCUCUUGUAUAAGAUUCCCCCACUUAAGAAAAAUCCACUGGCCAAAUGCGUAAUGGUCCUCUUUUGAUCACUAGUGGCUUGUGUUGGGUAUUUUCCCAAUUGGAUGUAUCGCUUGAUAUCAAAGAACCAAGGUUCAUCAUCGAGCUCUUCAACUGUAUGACAAUAAGCAUGUUGAUCACGACUCUGUAUAUGCACUGGAUCGGUGUAGGCUUUAUCAAGAUGUUGGAGCAUUCAAGACAAAGUGGCUAAAGCGUCAGCAAUCUCAUUCUGAAUUCUUGGAAUAUGCCUAAACUUUACAGACUCAAACCUUUGACAUAGAUCUUUCAAGCAUUGUCGAUAUGGUAUGAGCUUUAAAUCUCGCAUCUCCCAGUUGCCUUAAAUCUGAUGGAUGAGCAAAUCUGAAUCCCCCAACACUAAUAUUUCUUGGACUCCCAUAUCAAUAGCUAACCUCAAACCUAGAAUACAAGCUUCAUAUUCCGCCAUGUUAUUGGUACAAUAAAAUCAAAGUUGUACUUUUAUCGAGAAGCGCUGCCCUGAUUUAGAGAUAAGAACUGCACCUAUUCCGACUCCUUUCAUGUUAACGACUCUAUUGAAUAACAGCUUCCAACCUGGAUCAGCAUCUAUAAUGACUUCAUCAACACACAACACGUCUCUAUCAGGAAAAUUUCUUUAGUAGAUCAUACUUUUCAUCAAUGGGAUUCUCAGCAAGAUGAUCUGCUAAGGCUUGAACUUUCAAGUCAUAUAUAUAUCGAACUCGGUAAGCAAUAUUUGCUACUUUUCCAAUCGAUCUGUCGGUAUAGGCUUCUGAAAGAUAUACUUCAAUGGAUCCAUACGGGAGAUGAGGUAAGUAGUGUAGGAUGAAAGAGAAUGCUUCAACUUCUGUGCUAGCCAAGUUAGGGCACAACACGUCCUUUCAAGAAAAGUGUACUUGGCUUCAUAUGUUGUGAACUUCUUGCUAAAAUAAUAAAUAGCUUGCUCCUUUUUGCCCGUGAUAUUUUGUUGAUCCAAGACACAACCGAAGGAAUUGUCCAUGACUGAUAAAUAUAAGAUCAAAGGCCUACCAGGCUCCGGUGUACUAGCACGGGCGGAUUUGACAGAUGUCUUUUGAUUUUAUUGAACGCUUCCUUGCAUUCUUCAGUCCACUCAACCGCAACACUUUUCUUCAGCAACUUGAAAAUGGGCUCGCAAGUAGUUGUGAGUUGAGUAAUGAACCUACUGAUGUAGUUCAGUCUACCAAGAAAACUUAUCACCUCCGUUCUAUUCUUGGGCGGCGGCAGAUCCUGAAUGGCUUUGAUCUUCAAAGGAUCUAAUUCAAUACCCCGACGGCUAACUAUAAACCCCAAAAGCUUUCCAGAUGGAACUCCAAAUACCCAUUUUACAGGGUUGAGCUUGAGAUUAUACUAGCGAAGCCUUUCAAAGAACUUUCUUAAAUCUUUAACAUGGUCAACUUGACUCUUUGAUUUAAUAAUCACAUCAUCUACAUAGACUUCAAUCUCCUUUUGCAUCAUAUCAUUAAACAUAGUGGUCGUGGCUCUCAUGUAUGUUGUUCCAGCGUUCUUCAAAUCGAAUGGCAUCACUCGAUAACAAUAAGUCCCCUAUGGUGUGAUAAAAGAUGUUUUUUCUACAUCAUCAUCAUCCAUAAUGAUCUGGUGGUAUCCGACAUAGCAAUCAACAAAAGAGGCAACCUCAUGUUUAGCGAAUUAUCCAAUAGAAAAUGGAUGUUGGGCAACGGAAAAUCAUCCUUCGAACUUGCUCUGUUCAAAUCACGAUAAUCAAUACAUACUCGAAUAUUGCCAUCUAUCUUUGGGACAGGAACCACAUUGUACAACUAAGUAGGAUAACGAGCCACUCGAAUGACUUUGGCUUCAAGUUGUUUCAUGAUUUCCUCUUUGAUUUUUAUACUUACAUCAGUUUUAAAUUUUCUCAACUUCUGCUUGACAGGGGGGAAUGCAGGAUCAAUCGGCAAUUUAUAGGCCACUAAUUCGGUGCUUAGAUCAGGCAUAUCAUCAUAAGAUCAUGCAAAAACAUCCUUAUAAUCAAUCAACGCUUGAAUCAUUCUAUCUUUUAGCUGUGGCGAAGUAUGUACACUGAUUUUAGUUUCUUUAACAUCUUCUUGAUUCCCAAGAUUAAUUGGCUCACUUUCAUUCAAAUUAGAAUUUGGCUUGUCUUCAAACUGUCCCAACUCUUUGCUUAUUUCUUCUAAUGCCUUUUCUUCAUUAUAUUCCCCCUCUUGCUUUAUUAUAUCCUGAUUAGUUUGGAUUUUAAGAUCAGGCUAAAAAUUUCGCAUGCAUAUCAUGUUAUUAGAAUUAGCAUAAAGAGAACUGUAUAAGAAAAGACAACAGAAUAUAUUAGACACGAAACAAAAAGGGACAUUGCAUUUCAUUAAAAGGGGAAAGAUAUGAGGGUUUAAACAUAAAUGACAACAGAAUAUAAACAAGCUAAAUUCUGAAUUUCAAUCCUGAAAUAACUCGGAUAAACAGAAAAAAAGCCAAAUAAACUACCAAAACUCCUUCUUGAUGGGGAGAGAAGUGACUUCCCAGUUGUUGAGCUGGACUUGAGGACCUAUGAACUGCACGUCUUCCUUAAUGGUACCUUCUCCUGCUUCAACCAUGUCAACUUCAAUCAAUAGGUUCUGGAAGUCAUUGACUAAUUCAUCUCCAGACUCUAUAGGUGCCAGAUGCUGCUCUUGAUGAAUGACUUACUGAGUAGAGGCACUGGGCGAGGGAGUGACCAUGUUUCUUUCUUUCUUUCCUUGGAUUUCUUCAGAUCUUCAGCCGUAGGUUUGAAACCCAGACCAAAAGUGCUCAUGUUCUCACUCGGGCAUAUGGGAUGAAUUAUACCGUGCAGGGACACUCCUAAACCCUUUCCUGGUAUAAAUCCAUACUUCAAUAGCUCAUUCACUAUCAUGAAAGAAAUGGAAGACAAUUGUGGUCCCAGCAUAACCUGCCCCUCAAGAAUACGAUCCACCGACACUGUAUCAAAUGACUGAUACAUAAAUGUCUUCUCUAUACUAUUUGCUUUAAUAAGAGGCAUGAGAGAAUCUUUGUGGGCGGAAAAAUCCCCUUCGCCAUGAGUAACCACUUCUUGCCAGUCAUGCUCAAACUUGAUUAUUUGGUACAAUGUAGAUGCAACAGCCCCGGCUUUGUAGACCCAUGGUCUUCCUAAGAACAGAUUGUAUGAGAAGUCAAUAUUCAGCACUUGGAACUCUAUGGCGAAUUCAACAGGCCCUAUAAGCAACAUUAGUUCUAUUUUGCCAAUGGGGUCUGUUUUUGCCCCAUCAAAAGCCCUGACACAUACAUUGUUCGGCCUGAUCCUCUCGACACCGAUGUUUAACUUUUAUAGGGUAGAUAUAGGGCAAAUGUUUGCACUAGAACCUCCAUCAAUCAUGACAUAGGUAAAGUAGAAAUCUUCACACUUCACGGUAAUGUAAAGACCCUGGUUAUGCCUCGUACCUUCAACUGACAAUUCAUCAUCAGAGAAGCUGAUUCGAUUUACCUCAAAGAUUUUUCGACCAUUUUCUGAAGCUGAUUUACAGUAAUCUCUCUAGGAAUAUAUUCUUCAUUUAAUACCUUCAGUAUAAUAUCACGAUGUUCCUUAGAAUGUAGUAACAAAGAUAAGAGGGAAAUUUGAGCAGGGGUUUUCUUCAGCUGAUCUAUUAUCGAGUACUUCAACAAUUUCAUCUUUCUCAAAAACUCUUCAAAUUCUUCUUUGGUGAUAGGCUUCUUGAGAGAUGAAGGCCCACUCACCCCUGACUUGGGCUUUCUCAAACCUUUAGGCAUGAAGCAUCUUCCUGAUCGAGUCAGACCCCUACCUCAUCUACUUCUUCCUUGACUUCCUUCCCCUGAUAUGUCAUCACAAUCCACUUAUAGUUCCAGAGGACCUUUUUUGUAUUAAUUAUCGGAGGUUGAGUCACUGGUUUGAUGAUAAUAGACGCUGCAAGUGCUUCUUUCACCAUCAGAUAGGCUUACCCGGAGCUCCUAUCACUGUCAACUUAGGCUUAUCUUGACUUAGACCAUCAUAUUUUCUGGCUCGUUGCACCAUGAUCACGGGUUUAUUUAUGCUUUCUUAGAUUUUAUCUUCUCCCAUUCCUUCUUGGCUUAAUGACAUUGCUUUCAACGAAUCUGCCACAUUCACCGAUUUUUCCUCAUUGGUAUGUAUUCUGAUAAUAGGCUUAUAACAUAUCAACGACUCUUUGCCAUCGUAUAUCAACUCUACCAUAUUAGUUUCAGCAUGGGUUGGCAAUGGAUUCUAGUUAAUGUUUGGAACUUCUGGGGCCUGGACCAAAAUUUGAUUUGCAUCAAUUAAAUCUUGGAUAGAUCUCUUCAAAUACCAAUAUUUCUCGAUAUCAUGGCCUGGCAUGUCAGAACAAUAUGCACACCUCAAAGAAUAAUCGAGAUUUCUCAGAGGUGGAUUCGACAGCCUUUCUUGAAUCGAGCUCAAGACCUUUAUCUUUCUCAACCUAUCAAACAAGCUAGCAUAUGUCUCCCUGAGAUGCGUGAACUAAUUUUUGACCGCCUUCUCUUUCUUAUACUCGGGCCUAGGUUGGAAAUUGGGUCUAGAGGGGUUUUGGUAAUUUGGUGGAGCUAAAAAAUGAUUUUGUGGAGCUUGCACACGCUAUUCUGAGUAAUAAGGGGUUUGGGCAUAUGUAUAUGCGCUAUAUACUGGGUACGAAGGUGGUGUAAUGGAAUAUAGUAGGUUUUGCAGAGGGUAGUAAAGAUGGGGAGAAAUAUAUGGAACUUGGGUAUAGGCUUGGGCUUGGGAUUGGUGAUAGGGGUGAGGUGGUCUUUUGGGAUAGGAAUGAGAUCCGGCUAUAAUGGCCGCCACAUCCUUUUUCUUCUUCUUACCUCCAAAAGUUCCAGAGCCACCUUGAAUUGCUUGGGUGGUGUCCUUUAAUGCGGUAGAACUCACGAUCCGCGCAGUUUUGAUACCCUCUUCUACUAUCUCACCCAUUUUGAGGACUUCUAUGAACGGCUUACCCAUCACAGAAAGCAAAUAUUGAAAAUAAGUCUCGUCUUGUGCGAAGACCUCUACCAAUUUACUUUCUUUCAUUGGAGGUUUUACCCUAGUGGCCUGUUCACGCCACCUUAUCGAGUAUAACCUAAAACUUUUGAUGCUUUUCUUCUUCAUAUUAACCAGGGAUUUCUCAUCAGGAACCAAAUCGACGUUAUAUUGAAAAUGUUGCACAAACUCAUUAGCUAGGUCAUCCCAGUUGUUCCACUUCUCAAUAUCCUAAUCGAUAAACCAUUUUAAAGCCAGAUCGGAAAGACUUUCGCCAAAGAAAGCCAUGAGCAACUCUUUUCUUCCCCCUGCACCCCUCAAUUGGUUGCAAUAACGUCUCAGAUGCGCCACAGGAUCACCAUGCCUGGCAUAUUUCUCAAACUUGGGCAUUUUAAAACCAAGGGAAAGGUUAACAUCUGGGAACAUGCAAAGAUCUUUAUAGACAACACUUUUAUAACCUUCGACUCCCUGCAAAUUCCUCAUGGCCUGUUCUAAACUCUUCAACUUUCGCGCUAUGACUUUUUGUUCCUCUAUUGCAAUAGGCUUCUCCGUAUCAAGUGGAAACGCAGGUGGCUAAGUGUACCCAUACGGUUCAUUCAUCUUUAAAGUGGGCUCCGGGGCAUAAUAAUGAUUCUUCAAAAUUUUAAACAUUGGUUCACUGGCAGACCGAGGAAGUACCAUUGUUGGACGCACAACAUAGGUGGGAGCUUCAGGCAGUGGCGGAGCCACAAAUACAGGUGCUGCUAGUGGCACCGGCUGAGUAGCGGGCCUUGGUUGGGGCACUGCCAGGGGCACACUAGAAAUGCCCAAAUAAUAUUGUCGUGGAGUGAAUCCUGGCGUGUGCUCGGGUGACUUAAUGGGAAUAGAGAAUUGUGCCUGAGAAAGCGGUGGUCAAUUGGGGAUAUUCCCAAGAUCUUUAGGGAGUGGAUAAGGAGGCAUGCCACUAGCCCAUGCUCGGUGCAGAUCUAUCAGUUGUUGUCUAAGUCUCAAUACCUCAUUAUUGCGUUCUGAGCUUUUUUCCCUGAGAUCCUGAUCUGGGUCAAUGAAUGAAUUUUCAAUCUCCCUAUUAGCCAUGGAAAGCUUCGCUUUUAAUCUAGUGAAGUACGGGUUACUAGCCAGAGUGCUACAAACCAACCACUUAUGCUCAUCAAAGACAAAACCCGUUAGGAUUAGGUCAAGCAACAAGCAUAGAAAUCACAUUUUACACAUCCUAGGUUUAUGCACAUUUCUACCGGCCUUUGAGGGUAAUGAGGCCAUUUUAACAUCAUCCCGAUUUCCCCAUUACAUUAUCACGCCUCGCUCUUUCUGCUUUUCACCCUCACUUCUCUUUUUUUUUGGAUCAGUCUCUUCUUUUCCUCUUUUCUUCUCUCAUUGCUCUUUCUUUCUUUUCUUCUCUCGCUAUCUCAUUUCUUUUUAUCAUUCUUUAUGGCUUUUGCUUUUAUUUAAAAGAGAAAAAUUAGGAGAAAUCAAAGAAACAAAAUGAUUAGAUCGAACCCAAAAGUAGGUUGCCUACGUAUCAUGUUGUUCAUGAAUCAGAGUUUGCAUAGUUCUGGAGGUAUAUGCACAAAUAUCACAAAAUUGAUGAUUUUUCAUUCAUUUUUUUUUUACGAAAAACAAACAAAAUGAAAAGACAAUACAACAUCACUACAUAUUCAUAAGAGAGACAACUAGACAGAUUUCGACUUUAAGACAACCUAAUACUAAUCAACAAAGACUCAACAACACUCUAGAAUAAAAAAAACAUGCAUAACUUUCACAAUAAAAAACUCUAAUAUUAAAACCAACUUGACGCCACCUCAAAAUAAAUUCACAACACUACAAUAACAGAAAAACAAAGGACUCAAAAUAAAGAUAGGAAGUGCUCCUUCAAACUACUCCGCUGCAUAAUAGUCCUGGCUGAGAUGGACCUGUCUGUGAAGUUCUCUUUCUCCCAUUCAAACUUUGUAGUAAAUAUCUUGCAAGGACACUAUGAUAUUUAGGAAGAACCCUCGGGCAAGUAUUCCUGCCUCAUGGGGAGUACCCCUGAAAAGAUGUUUUGACACCCUUCCACAGUUGUGAUCAAACCUAAUAACUGAACUCUCAGUGCCUCUAUUUUGGCUCCCGCACCUUCAUCCUGAUAGUUAUUAACUAUGCAUUCUUCUUGUAUCCUCCCUCUAAGUUGCGCUGGUAAUGGUCUACUAAUACCCCGAGGAAUAGAUUGUAGCAAAAUUCCAUAUCCUUGAGUGUAUCCUGGAUUAUCUAAACCUGCCUAAAGAGUAUCCACGCCUUGCCAUGUUGUAUUAUUCCAGAACUGCUCAUAUUUAAUCUCACCCCUAGCUUGGUCCUUAAAGUACUCAACGUCCUAUUGAAAGUCCAUUAUCGGGGGAACAUCUUGCACUCUGCCCAAUUGGCACAUUACCUUGUAGGAAGUGCAUGGUCGAGUAUAAUUAAGCCCCCAACAGAACUAGAUGGGGAUGUAUGCUAGAUCCAACCAAGAUUACUUUCGGCCAGAACCAUAGAUAGGUCCACAAGACAUUGUUAUCUAUUCUUGAUUCAAGAAACUCAACCCAAGCGUUGACUUCUAUAGGUAAUGAGAAUUUAGCAAAACCCAUUCUAUGUUCUAUGGUUUCUACUCGACUAGGCAGACAACGGUCAAUCACAUCAUAUUUAAGCAAAGAAGGGGCGUGGAAAUGCUCCAUCAUCCAUAGUUGUAACACUAAGUUGCUCCUUUUGAAAAAUUGCAUACCUCCUUUUAUCUCAGUCAAAGCUUUGUAUAUUUUCACCAAGAUCAGAGGAACAAUAGUGACCUUGUCUCCCUUAUCCUUGUUAAAUAAGGCCAUUGCUACAGAUUACAAUCGAGUAUUAAUACGCCUAUCUUCCAUGGGGAAUACCAAAGUGCCUAACAGAAUAAAGGCGAAGACCUCAAGGCGACGUUUCUCCCAAUUCUUCUUAGUUGUAUAAAAUUUAUCCAAAAAACAAUCAAAACCAUUUAGGAUGCCAAACCAAGCAUAAAAGUAAUCAAAAGAGAUCCAAGAUUGGUUAAGGCAACCUAGAUGGUCAUUAACUUUUAAACCAUAAUAGUGGAGAAACCUAUUGGGAGAAUGACAUUGCGCUUAAAUCAUCAUCUUUUUAAUGUAGGGCAAUUUGAAUAAACCAGAUAUCUCCGCCAAGGUAGGUGUUAUUUCACAACUCCCAAACCUAAAAACCAGACAAGUUGGAUCCCAAAAAGUAAUGCAGCCUCGAUCAAGUUUGGACGGGGUAUGAUAGAUAAGAGAAAAAUGAGAGUGCCUAGCUUCUUUGAUAACUCAUGCCUUUUGGAGUAGUUGAACGUGCCCCACCAUUUGAUUAACUUUUGGGUACUUUAGAAACCAUUAGGACUUUAGACCUUGGAGGCAGAUACAUCCUGUAACAACACACAAGGCUUAUGAUUUAACAUUUGAUAAAAGGGGAGAAGUUCCUGACCCUCGGGAUUCUAACACGGUGAUACGGAAAUUCCUAGCUCGAGACCUUUCACACGAAGCCAAGCACGUGAGUUGCAAUGACUCUAAGCCUUGUUCACAUUCUUGGCCAUGUGUGAGGCCCUUGUGAGCCCAUCUAAGGGCUUAUAUUUAAUAAAAUGUAAAGAGGCCCACCAAGACACCCCAAACCUACCCACUUAAAUGCCAAGGGUAAUUUGGUCUUUGUACCUCCUUUCUAAGUGACUAUAUAAGCCAUGUAAUAGGGCUAGACUUGCUUUAUUUCAUUCCUAUUAUUCAAUAAACAAAGACUUGUACAUUUUUUACUUCUCUUUCUCAUCAUUUGAAGAGGCCAAAACCAAAUUCUCACUAGUAGACUGAUACUAGUGUUGUAUUUUGGCAAGAAACUAGGUUCUUGAGGUUCUUUGAGUUCCUCUUGGUCCAAGUAAGAACUUGGUAUUGAUAUUUAUUAGUCUUAGGGUCCUUUCUCUUGUUAAGGUUUUUAGAUUAAUGAAUAUUGUGUGUCAAGUUUCUAUCUCUUUCUUUGUAAAUCUUGUUAACAUUGGGUUGUUGAAUAUAAAAGUCUAGUGAAGCCGUGUGGGGCUCUUUCGAUUCACUAGCAAUAUGUCUUUGUUGUUCUUGUUGUUAAACUCACUUUUCUAGUUCAAACAAGUGUUGCAAGCCUAGUGAAGCCGUGUGUGGCCAUUUUCGAUUCACUGGCACUUUGUUAUUUAUCUUGUUGUUCUUGUGUUGGUUGGAAUCUCUUGAUACACACUUAGCAUUGUAUAAUUUGGUAUCAAAGCUCAAUUUAUCACUUAUUUUCAAUCUAAAUCCAUUUGAGUGAAAUUUUUUUCAUAUUUUUAAAUAUUCACAUUUUGUCUUAAAUAAAUUAUUCACGCUUUAAAAUAUUCUUAUAUACCUUAUUUACAUAUUUAACUCCAUGCAUCUAAAGAUAAUAAAGUUUAUCCUAAACUUCUCCUCAUCUUAUGUCUUAACUUCUAUAAAGAUAAAUAGAUCCAAAAAGGUUGUAAGACAAAAUUGAAAAUUGUUUGCGAGAAGACUUGCCAACAUCACCUUUUCAAGACUUGACAACCACUUUUCCUUAAAAUAAGGAACCUUGUCUUGUGGGACUAGUGAGGUCAAACAUCACCUUUUGAGUUUAAAAAAAAAGAAAAAGAAAGGGGGUUUGAAAAAUGUUACAACACUUUAUGUUUUCCAUCCCAAUAACAAGUCAUCCAUUACAAAAGAUCUAAGGGGACUAAGACUUCAGGUUGAUCAACUAUUUAUGUGGACCCGCGGCCAUUGACAUGCUGCCACAUCACCCUAGUUACUGUUCACGUGAUAAUUAAGCUCAAAUUUGGAUGUUCUAGUUUCUAAUUAUUGAUUCCUAGUUUCCUCUAAUUGACUUGAGAACUAAUUAACAAACUAGUACAUUCCUACUAGCUUGUCAAUUAGUCACUUGAAGCCUUGUGUUCGUGUCAACGUUUGUUUAUGUGUUUUUGUCAUUUGAAUACAUUUUAACUCUUGGCUCUAGUCCGACGAGAAUUCUUUGAGUUUCAAACAAGAAUCCAUUCCGGACAAGAGCAUACUCAUACCUUACGGAUUCACGUGUUCCUAGCCAAUCUACAACUCCUGUGGAACUUGAGUAUGAGUGAACCAAGAGAGUGUAAGUGAGGAGAGAGAUUUUAAACUAACUUAUUUAUUGCUUGUGUAGGUGAUACCUUGAUAAUUUGAGGGAACCACGUCUCAAACCGUGGAUUCUAAUGAAAUGGAAAAUAUAAGGGUCACUCUUGAGGCUAUGACCCGAAAAGGUUGAGUACGGAAAUGGGAGCCAUAAGGGGAAAAGUGACAACUAUUAGUGGGAGGUUAGAAUAAGUGGAGAGUCAAAGGAACUCUCAUCCUUCUACUCCUCGACAUGUUUCGUCAAGUGGACAUGAUAAAAAUUCCUCCGCCACCGUUACUCCCGAAACAUGGCCAUAAUUGCCAAAUCCUUCACUAGCUCCACUAAAUACCGCAAGCCAAACCACUUAUAACCCUCUAAAUCGAAACUCCAAUAGACCAACCCAUUCCCAAAUGUCUUUCUACUCCUCGACAUGUUUCGUCAAGUGGACAUGAUAAAAAUUCCUCCGCCACCGUUACUCCCGAAACAUGGCCAUAAUUGCCAAAUCCUUCACUAGCUCCACUAAAUACCGCAAGCCAAACCACUUAUAACCCUUUAAACCGAGACUCCAAUAGACCAACCCGUUCCCAAGUGUCUCAAGUUCCGCAAGAGGUACUCGGACGUCAAAUGCCUCCACAAAAUCCGAACCCCUCUUCCAAGCUCCACUAAACCAAAGACCACCACCUCCACAAAAUCCAAUUCCUCCGAAUCAAGUUUCAAAUGUCCAAAAUCAUCCCGUCCACCUUGAGGAAUAUGGUAGAGAGGAUUAUGAAGGGUAUGGAACCUUUGACAAUGCCUACAUGAGGAAGUAAGAGAUGAGAAGAGGUCGUGUGGAUCCAAGGAGAUACCGAGGAUAUGGAGAAAGGGGAAACCGACACCUAGAGCGAGAUGUAGGCAUCAAUACCAUCAAAUUGAGCCUACCUAUCUUUAAGGGUGAAAGUGACCCCGAGGUGUAUCUUGCUUGGGAGUCGGCAUGUGAUAAAGUAUUUCAAGUGAAUGAUAUCUCGGAGAAGAAGAAGAAGAGUUGUUAUGCCAUAGCUCAUUUUGAAGGCUAUGCUAACACUUGGUGGGAAUACGUCAAGCGGUUCGGCAACAAGUUGGUAGAGGGAUAACCACCACCAUGGUUUCGAUUGAGGUACUUAAUGAGGCAAUGGUAUCUUCCCAAAAGUUAUCGUCAUGAGUUGCUUGCUAGGUUGUACAAUUUGCGACAAGGGAAUCGAAGUGUUAUGGCAUACUCUGACGAGUUUCAACAACUCAUGUUGAAGCUUGAUCAUCGGGGAGAACAAAUUAGCCAUGACAUCAUUCGGUUCAAGUGUGGGUUGAACAAAGAGAUCUCCACUCAUUUGACGCUUCACAAGUUUGAUACCGUUGAAGGGAUUUUCCAAGCGGCUCUUGAGAUUGAAAGGGAGCUUAAAGAGAGGUCGUCGUUUAAGGCAAAGGGACCAUCAACCUCAGGUUGGCUGAGGAGCAAAGAUAUGGUUCAACCAUCUUUGGGUUGGGCCAAAAAUAAGGACUAACCCGCCACUACAAGGUUGUCUGAGCCUAAAACAGUCCAUAAAUUUCCUCCCUGGCAAGAAGCUCACAAGUAUCCUAAUCCUAAAGGGUUCCAAUGUUUCAAGUGCCAAGGUUAGGGAUAUAAAGACAAUGAAUGUCCAAACCGGCGCAAUGUGAUCCUAAGAGAAGGGAUAUUGUAUUACCUUGGUGAGGAAGUGGGUCUUGAAAAAUAAGAGAAUGAGGUCGAGCCUCAAGAUGGAGAGAAACCCAAAAAUGAGCCACAUAAUGAUGAUGAUUGUGAGGAUGCUUAACCGCAAAAAGGGGAGUGCAUGGUUCCAAACUUUGUAGUGAGGUGUGCUAUGAUUAAUAAGGCGAUAGAUGACCCUAGCCAACGAGAGAAUUUAUUCCAUACUAAAUGUCUUGUGAAGGGAAGUGUGUGUACUAUAGUGAUAGAUAGUGGAAGUUGUGCGAAUGUGGUUAGUGUUGCAAUGGUGAACUUAUUGAAAUUACCGACUAAACCUCACACUAGCCCCAAGUUGCAAUGGUUGAGUGAAUGCGGCGAGUUAAAGGUCACAAGGCAAUGUGUGAUACGUUUUAAGGUAGCCAACUACCAUGACGAGGUGCUUUGUGAUGUGAUACCAAUGCAAGCUUGUCACUUGUUGUUAGGAAGGCCUUGGCAAUAAAAUAGGUCGACCAAACAUGAUGGAAAGUCCAAUCGGUAUACACUUGAGAAGGAUGGCCGAAAGGUCGCUCUUCAUCCAUUAUUGCCUUCCCAAGUGAAUGAAUUAUAUCAAAAGAUACGGUAAUUAAGGAAAACGAGAAAAAAGGCUGAGAGUGAGGGAAAAAGAGGGGAACUCGAGAGUGAGGGAGUAGGGGAAACCAAGGGGCUCCUAAUUUCUAAGGGGCAAAGAAGUGUGGUGAUGAUGGCUAGGAGGAAAUAAUUAUUUGUAUAUCAUGACAAGGACACUCCGAUGCUCCUCUUGGCUCAUUAUUUUAACACUAACGCCACUAACAUUUCCAUUUCUCCUCCUAUUUCUCAUGUUUUGCAGGAUUACGAGGAUGUCUUCCCAAAGGAAUUACCACAAGUAUUGCCCCCACUUUCGGGAAUUGAGCACCAAAUAAAUUUUGUGCUGGGUUCAUAAUUGCCAAAAAAUCCGUCUUAUAGGAGCAAACCAAUGGAUGCCAAAGAUUUACAACGCCAAGUUGAGGAACUCCUCAACAAAGGAUAUAUCAAGGAGAGUAUGAGCCCUUGGGUAGUUUCGGUGCUACUAGUUCCCAAGAAAGAUAGGACUUGGCAUAUGUGCAUUGAUUGUCGAGCCAUCAAUAAGAUAACGGUAAAUUAUCAUCACCCUACUAGGUUAGAUGAUAUGCUUGAUGAAUUGAGUGGUUCGUGUUUGUUUUCUAAAAUUGAUUUGAGGAGUGGCUAUCACCAAAUUCGUAUGCAACCGGGUGAUGAAUGGAAAACCGCCUUCAAGACCAAAUUCGGUCUCUAUGAAUGGAUGGUUAUGCCAUUCGGCCUAACAAAUGCUCUAAGUACUUUCAUGAGGCUAAUGAAUCAUGUGAUGAAGCCAUUCAUCGAAAAGUUUGUUGUUGUUUAUUUUGAUGAUGUAUUGGUGUAUAGUAAGUCCUUAGAUGAGCAUGUAAAGCAUUUACAAUGUGUGUUUGAUGUCCUCUGAAAGGAGAAUUUAUAUGCUAAUCUAGAAAAGUGUUCUUUUGGUGUCCAUGAGGUUGUAUUUCUUGGGUUUGUGGUGAGCUCAAGAGGGGUCGAAGUGGAUGAAUCUAAGAUUGACGCCAUUAAAAAUUGGCCAACUCCCAAAACCGUAGGUGAAGUGAGAAGCUUCCAUGGGUUGGCUAGUUUUUAUAGACGUUUUGUCAAAGGAUUUAGCACCAGUGCCGCCCCCUUGACCGAAGUGAUUAAAAAGGAUUGGCCUUUCAAGUUGGGAGAUGAACAAGCUAAGGCCUUCGAGGACUUGAAAGCUAUGCUCAUCUCGGCCCAUUUGCUAUAUUUGCCGAAUUUUGACAAGAAUUUUGAGGUUGAAUGUGAUGCAAGCAAAGUCGGCAUAGGCGCGGUUUUAAUGCAAUAAUUGAAGCCUAUUGCCUACUUUAGUGAAAAGCUCAAAGGAGCAACUCUAAACUACUCUACGUACGAUUUAGAGUUGUAUGCCUUGAUUAGAGCCUUGGUCACUUGGCAAUAUUAUUUGUGGCCUAAAGAAUUCGUGAUCCGAAUGGAUCAUGAAUUCUUGAAACAUCUACGGGCACAAGACAAGCUUAACCAGCGGCAUGCCAAAUGGAUUGAAUUUCUUGAAACUUUCCCUUAUGUUAUUCAAUACAAGAAGGGUAAAGACAAUGUGGUUGCUGAUGCUUUGUCCCAAAAAUAUAUGCUUGUUCUAAUUUGUCGUCUAAGUUGAUGGGGUUUGAAAGCCUCAAGUCUUUAUAUCCCGAGGACCCUCACUUCGCUCCUAUCUAUAGGGAAAGUGAAGAGUUGGAAAGGGAUAGGUGGGUUACGGAUAGGGGUUCCCAUCCCUAUACCAAAUUUGAUGGAUACUUAUUUAAAGGUAGACGAUUGUGUGUUCCCUCAAGUUCGUAGAGAGAAUUAUUUGUGAGGGAAGCACACAAUGGUGGUCUAAUGGGCUAUUUUGGGGUUGAGAAGACCCUCGGAAUUUUGGAAUAACAAUUUUAUUGGCCUAGAAUGCACAAGGAUGUGGCCCGGAUUUGUGGCCAAUAUGUUGAGUGCAAAGGAGCUAAGUCACGGCUCCAACCCCACAGGUUGUACACCCCAUUGUCCACCUCUUUGCGUCCAUGGCUUGCCAUAUCAAUGGACUUUAUGUUGAAAUUGCUGAGGACUAGAAGGGGGUGGAAUAGUAUUUUUGUCGUGGUGGAUCGAUUUUCCAAGAUGGCUCACUUUAUUCCUUGUUCUAAAUGUGAUGAUGUGCCUAGCGUAGCCUCUUUAUUUGUUGCUAAUGUUGUAAAACUUCAUGGUGUUCCGAGGACCAUAGUGAGUGAUAGGGAUUCUAAAUUCCUAAGCCAUUUUUGGAAGUCCAUGUGGGGUAGACUCGGUACUAAGUUUUUGUUUUCAACUUCAUGCCACCCACAAAUCGAUGGCCAAACAGAAGUAGUAAAUAGGACCUUAGGGUCUAUGUUAUGAUCCAUGGUUAAAGGAAAAAUGACUUCUUGGGAGGAGCACUUACCGUUGAUUGAGUUUGCUUAUAAUCGUGUUAUACACUCGAGCACGGGGAUGACACCCUUUGAGUGUGUAUACGGCAUCAACCCCCACAUCCCUUUGGAUUAACCCCUUUGCCAAGUGAUCUUGUGAUAAGCUUAGAUGGAAGCAAAUGGGCCGAGGCCAUGAAAAAGCUACAUGAGAAGGUGAGGUUGCGGUUGGAGAGGAAAAACCAAGAAGUUGUGAGGCGAGCCAACAAAGAAAGAAGAAAGCUCAUUCUUGAACCGGGAGAUUGGGUGUGGGUGCACCUAAGGAAGGAUAGUUCUCGUCUCAAAGGAAUGCUAAGUUGAUGCCACGGGGUGAUGGUGAUGCCACUGGGUGAUGGCCCAUUCUAAGUAUUAGAAAGGAUCAACGAUAAUGCCCACAAGAUUGAUCUACCCCCGUAAUAUCAAGUGCACAACACUUUUAACGUGUGUGAUCUCUCUCGGGUGGAAAUGGUGGAGGAUGGCAAUGAUCCGAAUUUGAGGACAAAUUCCCUUCAAGAUGGAGAGGAUAGUACGGGAAUUUAUAGCUCGAGACCUUUCACACGAAGCCAAGCACGUGAGUUGCAACGACUCCAAGCCUUGUUCACAUUCUUGGCCAUGUGUGAGGCACUUGUGAGCCCAUCUAAGGGCCUAUAUUUAAUAAAAUGUAAAGAGGCCCACCAAGACACCCCAAACCCACCCACUUAAAUGCCAAGGGUAAUUUGGUCUUUGUCCCUCCUUUCUAAGUGACUAUAUAAGCCAUGUAAUAGGGCUAGUCUUGCUUUAGUUCAUUCCUAUUAUUCAAGAAACAAAGACUUGUAAAUUUUUUACUUCUCUUUAUCAUCAUUUGGAGAGGCCAAAACCACACUCUCACUAGUAGAGUGAUACUAGUGUUGUAUCUUGGCUAGAAACUAGGUUCUUGAGGUUCUUUGAGUUCCUCUUGGUCCAAGUAAGAACUUGGUAUUGAUAUUUAUUAGUCUUAGGGUCCUUUCUUUUGUUAAGGUUUUUAGAUUAAUGAAUAUUGUGUGUCAAGUUUCUAUCUCUUUCUUUGUAAAUCUUGUUAACAUUGUGUUGUUGAAUAUAAAAGUCUAGUGAAGCCCUGUGGGGCUCUUCGAUUCACUAGCAAUAUGUCUUUGUUGUUCUUGCUGUUAAACUCACUUUUCUAGUUCAAACAAGUGUUGCAAGCCUAGUGAUGCCGUGUGUGGCCAUUUUCGAUUCACUAGCACUUUGUUGUUCAUCUUGUUGUUCUUGUGUUGGUUGGAAUCUCUUGAUACACACUUAGCAUUGUAUCACACGGACAGGUUAUCAUGAAGAAACAAACCACUUUAGACUCAGAUUAAAACAAAUGGUACCACUAAGUGCAGUCAGCCUACUUGGCCAAGAUUAACCGACGACUCUAGACUAGACUAAUAGGGGGAGACCUUAAGCUAAGACUAAGAUAGUGACCAAAAUAAAAUUUACCGGACCCACCGAGGGUUACCUACGUAUCCUGCCCCGAAGGACGAGAAUUCGGUACGCGUAGUUUGUCCAGCUUUGACAAUUAAGGAUUAAGUGACAAACUAAACCCUGAAUUGAGAGACACGACUAAAGACAGACGAAUAAAUUUUUUUUUGGGUUUUUAAUUAGAAACUAACACCGACAAUUAUGAAAGAAUUUUUUUUUUGAUAGUCUCGUUAUAUAAAAAUGUACAAAACUCCUAUUGAAAGAAAAAAGAAAUUUUUGGAGUUUUCGAAUUGUGAAUAUUUACUAAAGAAAUAAAAGAAAAAUCUUUUUAACGUUUUUUAUUUUUGGAAAAUGAGUGCAAAAAGUAAAAAAAAAUAUUUUAUUUUAUUUUUUCAUUUUUUUUUGAAUUGUGAAAAACAAAAGUCAUAAAGGACCCUAAAAACUACCAAAUCUUUUUUUCUUCUCUUUUUUUUCACUCUUUUUUUUCCAAUAAUUUUUUGCCUACACACUUUGCUUCUAACUCAAGCUUUUGCCCAAAUCAGUCUGUCAAAUGACCUCGUUGCCCUUCAAAGAUGCAACAUUUAGCACGUAGGGAUGCUUUAGAGGUGAGUCUCCUACAAAGGGCCACGUGAGUCCUACUAGAUCUCAAUAUGAUGCAAAUAAGCAUGACCUAAAGGCUGACCUACACUGGGGUUCACUAACAAGGUUAUUCGGGGGAGCGUAUGGUAGAUAGUGGCUGCGCUAGCUUUCCACCCACUCCAUACCAGCCGACGGCUCCCCCUCCUAAAAAUAAGGGUGACUCAACUAUAGGUCGUAUACAUAGUGUGUACUACAGAACUUGUUGCAGAAAGAAUUGACUCGGGUUAUGCAAAUGAUGCCAGAUAUAAAGCGGUAACAUAUAAGAGAAAAACUGUAAAGACGUAGCACGUAGGCACUCAACAACGAUAAACAAAUACAAGAUAACACAACAAUGUCUAUACACCCAUAAUGCCAAACUAAGCCGAUACAACUCCAAAAAAUAAGCUCAAAUUCUGAAAGUCCCAGCAGAGUCGCCAGAGCUGUCACACCCCUUUUUCAACUCGAAAAAAUUAUAUUUUAAAGUUCGAAAAAUAUUUUUAUUAUCAAAGUGACAAAAAUGAAGAUUUGUUUCGAAAAGAACUUUUUAUAUUCAAAACUCAAAAUCUCCACUUGACAUAAUCCGGUGUGCCAAGUCACCUUUGAAAAUCCUUUUCAAAAUGAUUUUGACUCUAAAACUAAUUUGCGAACAGAGAUUCCGAUUAAGGAAUUCUGUUGAUCGAGGGGAAGGUGUUAGGCACCCCUCGAUCCCGUGGUUCGACCACAGUCUCUUGAUAGAGCGUAUCGGCUAAUGUUGGCACUAAGAAUGUAUAAACCAUAUAAACACACAACAACUAAAAAACACACAAAACAAAACAAAUCUAAAAAAAUAAUGUCUAGUCCAAUUAUACAGCCCCGAAACAGAAAAAUGCGGAAAUAUAAAUCUACUUUGUUCUAGGAUAAUUAUAAACUAUGCGCUAUUUCUUUCUCCACCCGAUAUUCCGGGCCUUGAUCGUGCGCCGUCUUCAAGUACAUGAUACUUCAGGGCAUCCCCCGGCGAAUAAAUACAAUUCCUUCGGGGCAUUCCCCGGCAAAUAAAUACAAUGUCAAUCUCAUGCGAUAAACUAGAAAACUUCCAACACAUUCAACAUUCCACGCAUUCAACUAAAACAUCAUUCCUAAGUUUGCCUACCCGAACCUAAACUUUGCCUAUCUAUUUCAACAUAUCAUAAAUCUAUC
rnacentral:lncRNA from 1 species